UAGCAGAACGACCCGCGAACCAGUUUCUUGACACACGCCGGUGGCGGUGGGAGCACCCGCCCCCUCGCCACCCGGCGAAGAGCCGUGGGGAGGACCCUUGCGGCCCCUCUCCCCGGCCCACGAACAAAACCCCGGCGCGGGAUGCGCCAAGGACCAUGAAAAGAAAAAGGAGCACGCCCCCUCGGCCUGGGAACGGGGCGCGGGGUGCGUCUUCUUUUGCCAUGAGCAAAAGAA
rnacentral:rRNA from 1 species